UGGUUCUGGCAUCGAUGAAGAACGCAGCGAAAUGCGAUAAGUAAUGUGAAUUGCAGAAUUUAGUGAAUCAUCGAAUCUUUGAACGCACAUUGCGCCCUUUGGUAUUCCGAAGGGCACAUCUGUUCGAGCGUCAUUACACCUACUCAAGCUCUGCUUGGAAAUUGAGCUCAAGUGCUUUGACAAGAAACACUGGCUUCAAACCUUUUAGCAGUGCCUUUAUGGUCUCAAGCGUAGUUGAAAUUAUUCGUUUGUCAGGUCAUAGAGGUUCUCGCUCUAUUUAAACACAAUACUUUAAAGGUUGACCUCGAAUCAGAUGGGAGUACCCGCUGA
rnacentral:misc_RNA from 1 species